rnacentral:lncRNA from 1 species
GAUUCUACUACUCUCUAGUCUGAUUAUGAUCAUAUAGAUUUAAGAUCUAGUCUCUUUACAGACCUCUAGUGAGACAAUCAUUGACGCAUGCUGGCUGGCGGUGUAUGGUAGUAUGGAGCUUAGUUUUUUUUUUAUUUUUUUUAUUUUUUUUAAUGGAUUUAGAUAUAUAGGGUGGAUCACUAGCACCUGCUAUUGAGAGCAUGCUUCUUCAUUUGAUAUUAGAGUUAGUUUUUCUUUUGAGCCUCCAGUAGAGCGAUCACUGAUGCUUAAUCGAUGGAUAGUAUAUUGUAGUUAGGAUCUAGUCUCUUUUGGGA